GACCAGGUGGAGAUAAUUGAAUCAUGGGGGUGGUUUCCCCCAUCCUGUUCUCGUGAUAGUGAGUUGGUUCUCAUGAGAUCUGAUGUUUUUACAAGGGGCUUCCCCAUUCACUGGAUAUUCAUUCUUCUUUUCCCAGCUGCCAUGUGAAGAAGGACAUGUUUGCUUCCACUUCUGCCACGAUUAUACGAAAGAGUCCCCAGAAUGUCUUCCAAAGGAAUUUCAGGACCCUAAAGCCUGGAAGCAUCAGAAAACAUUAGUCAUCUGGAUCACUGAACCAGAGCACUGCUUUGAAAUGUAAAGGAUUCCUGCAUGAAUGUCCACUCCACCCAGAAGACCGUCAUUGUUGCUGGUAGGGUGUAAUCUACAAUUUGUGGCCUUCACCAUUGUGUCAUGCAUUGAUUCCUACAUCAAGAGCCACGUGGGGUACAUGUCAUUUUCCUUCUCUUUACAAAUGAGAAAAUGAGGCUCAGAUUAAAUUACUUGCCCACGUUCAUGCAGCUAGUAAUGGAGAGAUGUGGAAUACAAAGCCAUAUUAUUUCUUAAUUCAAAUGCUGUGUUCUCAGCCACGAUGCUAUCAUGCCUGCAAGUAGACAUUUGCUGAUUGAAUGGAGUUGAAUCACACUACAGGAGUGAGUGUGGAUAAGAGCCAAGUGUCUAGUACAGACAGAAAUGUGCAGGAGUAGAGAGAAGGGUGGAUUGCCGGGAGAAAGUGUGGCACUGCCAUCAGACUGUAGGUGGCCUCGCCAUUGGGUCAAGCAAGUAUUUGGUGCUGGGGAGUAUGGAGGGGGCACACGGGCCUUCUCAGGCAGCCCAAGAAGGACGAGGCCUUAUAGGAAAACUGACUUAAGAUGAACCCUGCCAGAAAGGGCCACUCCGUCACCAGCCUUGUCUGAGGUCAUAUUUCAAAGACUGGCUCAGGGCCACUGGCUGGGGUGCAGGGCUGUGAGAUCAUGGCUGAGCAAUCUGACUUUUAAAAAAUAUAAGGACCAACUUGGGAGUUUUAUCGCAGUUCUGCGUUCUGCCGCCCAGGCAUGAAGUCAGCUGGCCUGCUUGUGACAGGGAGCAUUUCACUUGUAAUUAGCUGGUUUUUUUUUUUUUUUUUUUUAAUAUUCUGCCUAAACUGCGGUGUGGUGUGAGUGAGCCCGCUCCCUUGGAGCUGCCCCACAGCGGUAGCGGAGGUGAGUCAUGGCCAUAAAAUCUGGAAAGCUCGUAGGGGGAUGGAGGGCGGUGGAGAAAUAUAAAUUAUUGUGAUCGUCUUUCAGGAGCGCUCGAGUUAAUUAUUGUACUUUCGCCAGCUGCGUUGUGCCUUCAUCAAUGCCGAGCCAGAAGUGAUGGUUUUAGUGGGGAAAGAGUCGUUCUUUAAUGGGGCAGAGGCCCACGAAGCCCUGUGUUCUUUUGAGGGAGGUUGGGUGCAUGAAAUUCCCAGCACCAGCUGGAACCUGUGCGGAUUUGCUCUGAGACACUUGGGUGUGAGCAGCGUCACGUUUUCUUUAUUUUUCUAAAGCAAAUAAAUCUGGCUUCGUUCUCCACCUGCCAGGGCUGGCAGGCAACCC
rnacentral:lncRNA from 10 species